CGGGACUCUCACGAGGCCUCGUAAUCGGAAUGAGUACACUUUAAAUAUUUUAACGAGGAACAAUUGGAGGGCAAGUCUGGUGCCAGCAGCCGCGGUAAUUCCAGCUCCAAUAGCGUAUACUAAAUUUGUUGCGGUUAAAAAGCUCGUAGUUGCAUUUGUGCGCCGCGCUGUCGGUGCACCGCAUCCGCGGUGAUACUGACACGUCUGCGGAGCAUAUCGUCGGUGAGCCGCCGGUCAAACGGCGGUUCAAUAUCAAAAUCCUAUCGCGGUGCUCUUCAGUGAGUGUCGAGAUGGGCCGACAAUUUUACUUUGAACAAAUUAGAGUGCUCAAAGCGGGCUCAAAACGCUGCUUGAAUAUUUCGUGCAUGGAAUAAUGGAAUAUGAUCUCGGUUCUAUUUUGUUGGUUUUCAGAACUCCGAGGUAAUGAUUAAUAGGGAUAACUGGGGGCAUUCGUAUUGCGACGUUAGAGGUGAAAUUCUUGGAUCGUCGCAAGACGAACAUCAGCGAAAGCAUUUGCCAAAGGUGUUUUCAUCAAUCAAGAACGAAAGUUAGAGGUUCGAAGGCGAUUAGAUACCGCCCUAGUUCUAACCGUAAAUAUGUCAUCUAGCGAUCCGCCGACGUUAAUCAAAUGGCUCGGCGGGCAGCUUCCGGGAAACCAAAGAUUUUGGACUCCGGGGGGAGUAUGGUUGCAAAGCUGAAACUUAAAGGAA
rnacentral:rRNA from 11 species